AACCAAACUGAACUAUUUGUGCCAUCUCUUAAUGUUGAUGGACAGCCUAUUUUUGCCAACAUCACACUGCCAGUGUAUACCCUGAAAGAACGAUGCCUCCAGGUUGUCCGAAGCCUAGUCAAGCCUGAAAAUUACAGGAGAUUGGACAUCGUGAGAUCACUCUACGAAGAUCUGGAAGACCACCCAAAUGUAAGGAAAGACCUGGAGCGACUGACACAGGAGCAUAUUGAAAAUCAACGAAUGGAAGAGGAGACUGAAGAUUUUAAUUGAAAUUUGCUCUCCUGAGACUCAGCUUUAGAUGGAACUGACUAGCCUUGAUCUAGAUACAGGAUCACUUAUUUGCAGUUUCAAAGUGUCUCAUUCUUGGAGUAAAAAAUGCUCCAUUGCUUAAAAGGAAGUUAACUGACUUCACUAGGUAUUGUGAUUUUUAGGGGUAAAGAUCACAAAAUGUAAUUUAAUGACUGCCCUUUUUAGAAGUAUUUAUCAAGGGUAAGUAGUUUCAUUUUUGCCUCUUAGUAAGUCAGGAAAGUUUCUGUGUAAGGACUUUCAUGUAAGUAAUUCAGUGAGAAUUGCAACGUAUUCUUUGAUUGUAAGAAAGCAGCGGUAUCUGCUUUAAAUUGAUGUAUUGUGGUUGGUGAUGUGUCUGCCUCUCACUUUGAGAAGACUAAGAUAUCUUUGAAGCAGGGACAAAUCUCUCCUCUUUGAGACCCCAGUGCCUCACACAUUUUGAGCCUUUAUCAGUGUUUGUUGAAUGAACAAACCAAUGGAUACUUUGGUAGAAAGUGUUUGGAGGGUUUGCUCUUUUUUGGGGGGAGAAUAGGAGGGGAACCUUAAAGUGUGUACAGAAUUAAAUGUUUUAAAGGGAAUCAUUUUUAUAGAAAGCACUUUUUAUAAUUUUCUAAAUUUUGUGCUUUUCUCUGUUUACUGUUGUUACAGUGAUGUUUUAUUUUUGUUUCUAAUCGAGGAUUAGCUUUCUAAAGUUGUGACGAUAGCUUUUGUGAAACUUGGCAUCUGCACAGAAGGUAGGAAAAAAUAGCUGUCCUCUUAUUUAAUUCUAGUAUUAAGGAGCUACUACCAUACUGUAAAUACGGUUUUGCCAAGUAUGGGUAUUUCUGUUUUAUUUGGUAAAUCCAUGACAUUCCUGUUUGGUUCAGCAUUUUUCAUCAGGCAGCAUCUGGUGACACUUUGCAUCUGGCUCUGGGAGAGGCCAAAGCCCUCUAACCUCUGGGAAGUUACUCUUCACACACAGUGGAGUAGUUUUAAAAAAUCCAGCAAAGAAAAUUUUGGAAAAGUCAGAAAAGUAAAAGGAAGAAAAAGAUCUCUGUAGAUACACUACUAAAAUAUAACCACUAACAACAUUUUGAAGUUUCAACCCUUUUUAAGGCAACUUUUGGUUGGUUGGUUUUUACAUAGUUAAGUCAUUUGUGCAUACAGUUUUGUAUUCUACUUUCUUCUCAUUUAACUUUGUAAUUUAAAUAUUUUUCCAUGGCAUUAUAAGCUCUUAAUAGACAUUAGUAUGGUCGGUCUUCCUUUUGUAAAUAAUUUUAGACUAUUUCUUGGUAUCUUCAGUUCCCUUAUGCUAACCUUUGAGUACAAUUCUUGUGCUCUGAAAAAAGUGAAGUGAAACAAAUAUCCCAGUUUUCCCAUUAUACUCUAAUUUUCACCUAAUCUUAUACCCCUCUUCUAACAUUCUGUAAAUAAGUUGGCUUUUUUUUUUUUUUUUUUAGCAUGUUGUAGUACUCAUUCAGUGACACACUUCUAAAUAUCUAAAUUUUUUUGUGUUGAAUUAUUGGGUAGAGAAGAAGUACGGGUACAGAAGGCAGCUGAUGGAGUUCAGGAGUGGGAUAGGAUGGGGAUUUAAGGAAGUCUGCUGAUACUGGAUUAGUUGGUUUUUCUUUUUUUUAACCCUUGUGUCAAUGAAAUUUUAUGUUCCCCUUAAUAAAACAUGUAGUUUGAGUACUGUGUUUUUUGUUGUCCAAGGAAGAUUGAAAACCUGUAGCAUGAAUAAUAUGUUUUUCAUUUGAAGUCUUAUGAAUGUAUUAAAUGUAUUGCUCUUAAAAGACUGUGAUGUUUCCUAUUUUGAGUUAAAAAAACCCCCUGUUCUUUAAUACAUUAAAUGGUGCUGAGUAAAGGAAA